CCCAGCUGUAGGCAACGGCUUAGGUUGCAUUGUACCUAGGCAAGUGUUACACUGUUGGGAGAAAAGCAGCUAAUAGCUGACAGGCAUGCUGGGCUUGGUUAAUGCUAAAUUUAUGUUAACUAUAUCAUGUGCCAGCAUAGU
ensembl:snoRNA SNORA74 Small nucleolar RNA SNORA74